CCGGUCUUGUCUCUGUCAGUCGUACUCGGUUGCAAGAGUGUAAACGGCGCUUUAAGCGCCGUUCACACUUUUGCAACCGAGUACGACUGACAGAGACAA
rnacentral:pre_miRNA from 1 species